rnacentral:rRNA from 1 species
ACUGAGGAAGUGCAUUCGAAACUGCAAGGCUUGAGUCCCGGAGAGGAUGGUGGAAUUCUCGGUGUAGAGGUGAAAUUCGUAGAUAUCGAGAGGAACACCGGUGGCGAAGGCGGCCAUCUGGACGGUGACUGACGCUGAGACGCGAAAGCAUGGGGAGCAAACAGGAUUAGAUACCCUGGUAGUCCAUGCUGUAAACGAUGGGUGCUAGGUGUCGCGGGCAUUGACCCCUGCGGUGCCGUAGCUAACGCAUUAAGCACCCCGCCUGGGGAGUACGGCCGCAAGGCUAAAACUCAAAGGAAUUGACGGGGGCCCGCACAAGCGGUGGAGCAUGUGGUUUAAUUCGAUGCAACGCGAAGAACCUUACCUGGGCUAGAAAACGCGAGAGCCUGGCGGAAACGUCGGGGUGCCCUUCGGGGAACUCGUGGUUAGGUGCUG